ensembl:lncRNA novel transcript
GUCUUAGUUCGGCUCUAUUGCCGCGAGCUUGACUCUUCCUGGGUCUGAGGAAAAGUAAAAGUAAUUUUGUCAUUUCCUGAAACUUCAAGUUAAACCUUUAAGCUGUUCAUUUCCUAAAAGGGUGAAAACGCGGGCACCCCUCGAGCUAGUUCAUCGCCUUUUAACCUGUUGUUGGAUCUUUCCAGAUCACCACACCACAUCACCCAGCCACUCUGCCCAAUGGGAGGGCAGACAGUGUUCCAGUGUAGGAGGAAGGGGUGUAAGGUGCGGGCAGUUUGUGAGGAGGGCACCAACGAGAGCUACUGUGAGAAAGUCUGCAUGGUCAAAAAGUGGAUUACCAAGAACAAAGCAUCAUAAUGUUGUCCAGUGGACCCCAGAACCCAAGAAGACCUUCUACUGAUGAUCACAUUCAAAUUUUAAAUGUCUAGUGACUAAGAGACUAAUCACAUGGGGCUGCUUAGAUUUAUCGAGGAGGACAGGAGUGCCAAAACUCUAAGUUGUUUUUUGUAGGGUGUAAGAACAAAGGCAUCUCAUGUGUCUCGAGAAAUGAGUGAAAGUCAUGACCCAGUUCUUCCUCCUACUUUAACAAAAUGUGACUGAAGAGGAAGCCAGAUGUGUUCUAGGACAGACCAGCUGACUAACUCUUACUGUCAACAUACACUGUGCAAUUCCAAGACACAAGGGCAACUGAUAAAGAAGAUUAGCUUGGUUUUCCAGAAAUAAGUUCUGCUCUGUUCAAUCUCCUUGCUCAAUCUCCAUUCUCUCAUUCAUGUGGAAUAACAAGAUCUGCAAUAAACACCACCAGGCAAGUCUCUGAGGAUUACUGAGUUAUUUCAGAAAUUUUCUAAUCUUCUACUCUGAACUUUUAUAAAAUGAUUAUCAGAAAAUGAAUCAGCAGUUGGAAGAAUAGGAAAUAGAUUCUACUGUAAUCAUUUCCUGCAAGUAAUAAUUUCUCACACAUUAUCAUAAUAAAGUCUCUGUUCUUCUUUAAGUAGAGUAAGUCAUCGAGGAAGUAGAUCACUUCUAAAAAAUUAAACUUGUCUCUGGGUCUUUAUAAUAUAUUAUAACAUUACUGAAUGAUUGCUCUUGAAAUUUCCAAUAUUUCAUGUCCUUAACUUGAAUUUUCCCUACAGGUUGAAAAGUCAGGUUCUGGAAUUGGCUGUCUGGAUUAAAAUACUGGUUCCAUCACUGAGAAGCUGUGUGACCUUGCGAAAAUUACUUAAUCUCUUUGUGUUUCAGUUUUCUGAUCUGUAAAAUGAAGUCAAUAAUGGUGAGAAAAUGAGAAAAAUGCAUGCAAGCUUAGCAUAUUAUUAGAGUGAUAAAUGCUAACAAUUAUAAAUCAUGUCAGGGCCUCUACAUUAUUUUAGCAUUUACUUUCCUCUGACUAUCUGUACAUUACUGGAUAAAAAUAUUUUAUUGAUCACCAGAUAUUAAACUCCUGUGAAUUUCUGUGUGUUGAUGGUGAAGUUGGUGGGAGGAUGGUGAUGAGACUUACUUGAAGACAGGAAUGUAUGUGAGUUGACCAUGUCAGUAAGCUGAGAUACUGUCAAUUUCUGAAGGAUUCCUCUGGCUGAGUCUACACAGUUAAGAAGUAUUAUAUAUUUCUUGAUGUCUUUCCUAAUGUCUAACUGAAAUUCUCUAAUUGUCUCAUGUUUUAUUCCUCAUUUAUGGAGA